rnacentral:rRNA from 1 species
AUUGAACGCUGGCGGCAGGCCUAACACAUGCAAGUCGAACGGCAGCGGGGGGUAGCUUGCUACCCCGCCGGCGAGUGGCGGACGGGUGAGUAAUGCCUGGGGAGCUGCCCAAUCGAGGGGGAUACCAGUUGGAAACGACUGCUAAUACCGCAUACGCCCUGAGGGGGAAAGGUGGGGAUCUUCGGACCUACCGCGAUUGGAUGCACCCAGGUGGGGUUAGCUAGUUGGUGAGGUAACGGCUCACCAAGGCGACGAUCUCUAGCUGGUCUGAGAGGAUGACCAGCCACACUGGAACUGAGACACGGUCCAGACUCCUACGGGAGGCAGCAGUGGGGAAUAUUGCACAAUGGGGAAACCCUGAUGCAGCCAUGCCGCGUGUGUGAAGAAGGCCUUCGGGUUGUAAAGCACUUUCAGCGAGGAGGAAAGGGGUGAUGCUAAUACCAUCAUCCUGUGACGUUACUCGCAGAAGAAGCACCGGCUAACUCCGUGUCAGCAGCCGCCGUAA